CACAAAAAAUAUGAAGGCUGUACGUCGGCUGUGCCUCUCGGGGCCAGUUUGCGGCGGCUGAAUUAUUUUUCACCCAUGUCUUUUGCGCACUUGUUGUUUCCUGGGCGGGUUCGCUCGCCACCAGGACCACACCAUAAACCUUUUUUCAUGCAGUUGCAAUCAGCGUCAGUAUAACAAAUGUAAAUCAUUUA
rnacentral:misc_RNA from 1 species